AUGGUUCACGAGGAUGAGAGCAGCGACGACUACUCCAGCCUGCAGUACAUGAACUCCUCCGAUGACGACAGCAUGUUGGACCGGAUCCCUGCCAGCAUUGAAGACCAAGACUACAUGGGCAUUGAGACUGGAACCAUUGUUCCCUGCGAGCAGCAUGGGCUGCCAUGUGAGAGGCGUGUAGCCUUUGAGGGAUUUGAGACGGGCAGGAGGUUCUUAGCCUGUCCUCUUAAAGCAUCUGUUAAUUUUUAUGUGGCCAGGAGCUUAGUUUCCAGUGCGCAGCAUUGUUUAAGCUUUGAUCCUGUUAGUUUAGUGCUUUAUGAGUGCUUUAUAGUUGAUUAUUAGUGGCCUCCUACAAUGCAAAAUGCACUGUUGAAGCUAUGGGAAAUGUAUCAAGACAGCAAGAGUGAUAGGAGGAAGGAUAACCUGGAGAGUUCACUCGCUAUUCAUCAUUUGAGAGAAGAAAAAAAUAAACUGGAGGCCAACUAUGACAAAUUAGUUGAAGAUGUUCAUGAACUUUUGAAUGCCCAAGAGGAUAGGGUGCUGGAUUUCAGAUAUUUGCAGUCUAAGAGUGCAGAGGAGAGGAAUGCUGAGGUGACCAACUCAGUUGUCUCAGAUAUGAAGACAAAGAUGGAGAAGAAAGAGGCAGAGAUCUUCAAGCUGCAAGGGAAGUAUGAAGUCCUUAUGAACCUGACAAAAGCCCAAGGCACUGUCAUCAGGAACCUGAAGUUUAACCAUUUGAAAGAGAAUGAAGUGCUUAGUGCAGACAUGAGGAACUUGCAGUUCCAGGUUGCUGAACUAACUAAGCUAACCCAAGAAAAUCUCAAGUUGAAGCAGGAUGCUGAACUCACCCAGUCUCAGGAAAAGCUUACCCAAGAGAAUCUCCAGCUGAAGGAUCACAUUGGUGAUAUGAAAAAGGGACAUGAUAAGCUCAUCCAAGAGAAUCUCCAGCUGAAGGAUCACAUGGGUGAUCUGAAAAAGGGCCAUGACAAGCUCACUAAAGAUAGGGCUCAGCUCAAGCUUCAGAUUGCUAAUCUGUUGAAGGCAAAGGAGAAGAACAAGCAGAAGAUGAAGGGGAUCCAGGCCAUCUUGGAUGAAUGA
rnacentral:rRNA from 1 species